GAUGAACGCUAGCGGCGGGCCUAAUACAUGCCAGUCGAACGGGAAAGGUGGCAACACCUUGGGAGUGGCGUAAGGGUGCGUAACGCGUAUACAACCUGCCUGUUACACGGGGAUAGCCUUGCGAAAGCGAGAUUAAUACCCGAUGGUACUAUUGAGCGGCAUCGCUUGGUAGUUAAAGCUGAGGCGGUACCCGCGGGGUAUGCGUCCCAUUAGGUAGUUGGUAGUGUAACGGACUACCAAGCCGACGAUGGGGAGGGGUUCUGAGAGGAUGAUCCCCCACACUGGUACUGAGAUACGGACCAGACUCCUACGGGAGGCAGCAGUAGGGAAUAUUGGGCAAUGGACGGAAGUCUGACCCAGCCACGCCGCGUGCAGGAAGAAGGUCCUCUGGAUUGGAAACUGCUUUUCUUGGGGAAGAAAACCCUUCUGCGGAAGGAAUUGACGGUACUCAAGGAAUAAGCAUCGGCUAACUCCGUG
rnacentral:rRNA from 1 species